ACUGUGACCUGUAGAAGGAGUGCAGCCGCUGCGUUACAAGAGGAAGGACCGGCUCUGCAAGUGCGCACCUCAGUCUUCAGCAGCUAUCACUCCCUGGAUUCUGGCUUCUGCCGUUGAGUGUGAUCAAAACGUUAGCGCGUCAGCUGGACGGACCGGCGCUACGUCAUUUCCGGAGAGACGGGGGGAUGCGGCCGGGAUCCGGGCGGCGUGGACUACGCUGGCGGGAGGAGUCAUCCUGGUUUUAAGCGUUAGCGCGUCAGCUGGACGGACCGGCGCUACGUCAUUUCCGGAGAGACGGGGCGAUGCGGCCGGGAUCCGGGCGGCGUGGACUACGCUGGCGGGAGGAGUCAUCCUGGUUUUAAGAUGGACAUAUGCAAUAUACUGAAAUAUGUACAAACUGUUAAUGCAAAGACCAUUCAACUAUCAAGAUUUUUGCUUGUUUUUUA